GGGCCUGUGGUCCAACCUCGAUAAGACACUCGGCUACGGACCGAGAGAUGUGGGUGCAAAUCCUGUCAGGCCCG
rnacentral:tRNA from 2 species